rnacentral:rRNA from 1 species
CCUACGGGUGGCUGCAGUCGAGAAUCUUCCGCAAUGGGCGCAAGCCUGACGGAGCGACGCCGCGUGCGGGAUGAAGGCCUUCGGGUUGUAAACCGCUGUCAGUGGGGUGGAAAUCGGCAGGGGCACUCCCCUACCGUUGACCUAACCGCAGAGGAAGUCCGGGCUAAGUACGUGCCAGCAGCCGCGGUAAUACGUACCGGACGAACGUUAUUCGGAAUUACUGGGCUUAAAGAGUGCGUAGGCGGCUUUGAAGGUGGGGUGUGAAAGCCCACGGCUCAACCGUGGAAUGGCGCUCCAAACCGCAUGGCUUGAGGAAGACAGAGGUGAGCGGAACUGAUGGUGGAGCGGUGAAAUGCGUUGAUAUCAUCAGGAACACCCGUGGCGAAGGCGGCUCACUGGGUCUUAUCUGACGCUGAGGCACGAAAGCUAGGGGAGCGAAC